GAUGAAGAACGUAGCGAAAUGCGAUAAGUAAUGUGAAUUGCAGAAUUCAGUGAAUCAUCGAAUCUUUGAACGCACCUUGCGCCCUUUGGCUAUUCUGAAGGGCAUGCCUGUUUGAGUAUCGUGAACACCUCAACUCUCAUGGUCUGCCAUGAUGAGCUUGGACUUUGGGGGUCUUGCUGGCCUACUGUCAGCUCCUCUCAAAUGAAUCAGCUUACCAGUGUUUGGUGGCACCACAGGUGUGAUAACUAUCUACGCUUGUGGUUUUCUGCCAGGUAACCUCCAGUGAUGGAGGUUCGCUGGAGCUCACAAAUGUCUCUCCUCAGCGAGGACAGCUUUUUGAACGUUUGAUCUCAAAUCAGGUAGGACUACCCGCUGAACUUAAGCAUAUCAAUAACGGAGGA
rnacentral:misc_RNA from 1 species